UGAGACAGUUAUACAGGGUAAGAUAAAUAAAUAAAUGAAUAAGAAGAUGGUGUAUGUUGUAAGGGGCCCUAAAACGCUUAAGAUAGUAAAUACUAGAUUUAAAAAAAAUAAUAUUAUGAAAUAAAUAUUAAGAAAGGAACCUAUUCGGACAUUUAGGAAGUAAGACGGU